GUAUAUAUUAUAUAGGUACAACAUUCUAUUAACAUACAUUGGGGUAAAAUGAAGCAACAUAGACCUUUUCAGGCCUACAAAGAGUGCACAGGUGGAGAUAUAAAGAUGACAAGGUGUGCACAUGCUCCCUGGAGAACCAGCAACAACCCAUCAGGUUUAUUUCAAUAAUGAUCCUUCCGCAGGUUCACCUACGGAAA
rnacentral:misc_RNA from 1 species